rnacentral:lncRNA from 1 species
ACUCAAAGACAACUUUCAUUAUUAAUGGCUAGCUGCCAAACAAAUACCAAAUGACGUGUACUAUUUCUGAAACAUACUGGGUAAUUCUGGGACCUCCUUCGUACAUGGGUAAAAAGCCGGUUCUAUCCCCACUUUGAGGUUCAAUUAAUUGAGUUUUUGCGUUGAAUAUAUACCUAAUAAAGGACGGUGCAGCUUUUUAUAAUCCAAGAAUGAUAUAAUUUAUUUCAGUAAAGAAAGAAAUGACGGA